rnacentral:rRNA from 1 species
UACGUAGGGUGCAAGCGUUGUCCGGAAUUAUUGGGCGUAAAGAGCUCGUAGGCGGUUUGUCGCGUCUGCUGUGAAAACCCGAGGCUCAACCUCGGGCCUGCAGUGGGUACGGGCAGACUAGAGUGCGGUAGGGGAGAUUGGAAUUCCUGGUGUAGCGGUGGAAUGCGCAGAUAUCAGGAGGAACACCGAUGGCGAAGGCAGGUCUCUGGGCCGCAACUGACGCUGAGGAGCGAAAGCAUGGGGAGCGAACAGG